AACGAACGCUGGCGGCAGGCUUAACACAUGCAAGUCGAACGCGAAAGGGAUUCGUCCCCGGUAGCGUGGCGUCCGGGUGAGUAACACGUAGGAAACCUUCCCUAGAGAGUGGGAUAACGUUCCGAAAGGGACGCUAAUACCGCAUAAGCCCACGACCGCUUCGGCGGAUGAGGGAAAAGAUGGCCUCUGUAUACAAGCUAUCACUUUGGGAUGGUCCUGCGGCGCAUCAGCUAGUUGGUAGGGUAAUGGCCUACCAAGGCGAAGACGCGUAGCUGGUCUGAGAGGAUGAUCAGCCACACUGGCACUGAAACACGGGCCAGACUCCUACGGGAGGCAGCAGUGGGGAAUAUUGGACAAUGGGCGCAAGCCUGAUCCAGCCACGCCGCGUGAGUGAUGAAGGCCUUCGGGUUGUAAAGCUCUGUGGGGAGAGGCGAAAACAGUCAUCAAGAAACGGAUGAUUCUUGACGGUAUCUCCUUAGCAAGCACCGGCUAACUCUGUGCCAGCCGCCGCAGUAAAAC
rnacentral:rRNA from 1 species